UACGAAGGGGGCUAGCGUUGCUCGGAAUCACUGGGCGUAAAGCGCACGUAGGCGGCUUUCUAAGUCAGGGGUGAAAUCCUGGAGCUCAACUCCAGAACUGCCUUUGAUACUGGAGAGCUUGAGUCCGGAAGAGGUGAGUGGAACUCCGAGUGUAGAGGUGAAAUCGUAGAUAUUCGGAAGAACACCAGUGGCGAAGGCGGCU
rnacentral:rRNA from 1 species